UUAACUGAAACCAAAAAGAGGUAUAUUACUGUUAAUAAUAUAAUUGAAUAAAUCAUUCCAGUUAAG
rnacentral:tRNA from 1 species